GGCGGAUGUAGCCAAGUGGAUCAAGGCAGUGGAUUUGAA
rnacentral:tRNA from 1 species